UGCCUUCAGUUGCGAUCCGCUGUACUGU
rnacentral:sRNA from 1 species